GUGCUUGCUUUGACAAUACAUACACUAAAAUUUGCACCACACAGAGAUUUGCAUGGCCCUUGACAAAAAUGACAUGCAAAAUCUGAAACAUUUCAUAUUUUU